AAGACCAUAGUCAAUAUAUUAUGACUUAUGAUUUGCACUCAUAAAGAGUUCAUUUAGAACUGGUUUUG
rnacentral:tRNA from 1 species